CGGAUUAGAUACCCGGGUAGUCCCAGCUGUAAACGAUGCAGGCUAGGUGUUUGGACGGCCACGUGCCGUUCUAGUGCCGCAGGGAAGCUGUUAAGCCUGCCGCCUGGGGAGUACGAUCGCAAGAUUGAAACUUAAAGGAAUUGGCGGGGGAGCACCACAAGGGGUGAAGCUUGCGGUUUAAUUGGAGUCAACGCCGGAAAUCUCACCGGGAGCGACAGCAGUGUGAAGGCCAGAUUAAAGGUCUUGCCAGACGAGCUGAGAGGAGGUGCAUGGCCGUCGCCAGUUCGUGCCGUGAGGUGUCCUGUUAAGUCAGGCAACGAUCGAGACCCGCGUCCUCUGUUGCAACCAGCUUUGAGCUGGGCACACUGAGGAGACCGCCACUGAUAAAGUGGAGGAAGGAGCGGGCCACGGCAGGUCAGUAUGCCCCGAAUCUCCCGGGCCACACGCGAGCUGCAAUGGCAAGUACAAUGGGUUCCGACCUCGAAAGGGGGAGGCAAUCUCGAAAGCUUGCCGUAGUUGGGAUCGAGGGUUGAAACCCACCCUCGUGAACAUGGAAUCCCUAGUAAUCGCGUGUCACUAGCGCGCGGUGAAUACGUCCCUGCUCCUUGCACACACCGCCCGUCGUUCCAUCCGAGUGACUCUUGGGUGAGGUGCCGUCUAACUGGCGAUAUCGAAUCUAAGUUUCAUAAGGAGGGAAAAGUCGUAACAAG
rnacentral:rRNA from 1 species